AAAUUGAAGAGUUUGAUCAUGGCUCAGGUGAACGCUGGCGGCAGGCCUAACACAUGCAAGAAUCGAACGGUAACAGGAAGCAGCUUGCUGCUUUGCUUGUGCAGUGGCAGACGGGUGAUAAUGUCUGAAACUGCCUGAUGGAGAGGGAUAACUACCUGAAACGGUGGCUAAUACACAUAACGUCCUUAAGACCAAAAGAAGGGGGACCUUCGGGCCUGCCAUCGGAGAUAUUGCCCAGAUGGGAUUAGCUUGUUGGUGAUGAGGCGUAACGGCUCACCAGGCGACGAUCCUAACUGGUCUGAGAGGAUGACCAGCCACACUGGAACUGAGACACGGUCGAACUCUACGGGAGGCAGCAGUGGGAGUAUUGCACAAUGGGCGCAAAGCUGAUGCAGCCAUGCGCGUGUAUGAAGAAGGCGCUUCCGGAGUUUGUAAAAGUACUUUCAGCGGGAGGAAGGUGUUGUAGUUAUAGCAAGCAGUGACGUUACCCGCAGAAGCUUGCAGCUAACUCCCGCAUUGCCAGCAGCCGCGGUAACCACGGAGGUGCAAGCGUUAAUCCGGAGUACUGGGCGUAAAGCGCACGCAGGCGGUCUGUCAAGUCGGAUGUGAAAUCCCCGGGCUCAACACAGGAACUGCAUUCCGAAGCAUAGCGGGCUUGGAGUGCUGUAGAGGGGUAGAAUUCGAGGUGGCAGCGGUGAAAUGCGUAGAGAUCUGGAGGAAUACCGGUGGCGAAAGGCGGCUACGGACGGGAACUGACGCUCAGGUGCAGCGUGGGAGCAAGCAGGGAUUAGAUACACGGUAGUCACGUAAAGCGAUGUCUGCGCGGAGGUUGUGCCCUUGAGGCGUGGCUUCCGGAACUAACGCGUUAAGUAGACCGCACAGGGGAGUACGGCCGCAAGAGUUGAAACUCCAAAUAAUGAAUUGGCAGGAAUUUUACAGAAAACGCGGUGGGCAUGUGGUUUAAUUCGAUGCAACGCGAAAAGGGCCUUACACAGUCUUGACAUCCACGGAAGAAUCCAGAGAUGGAUUUGGCCUUCGGGGAACCGUGAGACAGGUGCUGCAUGGCUGUCGUCAGCUCGUGUUGUGAAAUGUUGGGUUAAGUCCGCAACGAGCGCAACCCUUAUCGCUGUUGCCAGCGGUCAGCCGGGAACUCAAAGGAGACUGCAGUGAUAAACUGGAGGAAGGUAGGGACUGACGUCAAGUCAUGGCCCCUUGACGGGGCUACACACGUGCUACAAUGGCGCAUACAAGAAGCGACCUCGCGAGCAAGCGGACCUCAUAAAAAUUGCGUCGUAGUCCAGUUGAGUCUGCAACUCGACUCCAUGAAGUCGGAAUCGCUAGUAUCGUGAAUAGAAUGCCACGGUGAGCCGUCCGGAAGCGCUUGCACACCGCCCGUCACACCAUGAAAUUUAGGUUGCAAAAAGUAGGUAGCAACACCUUCGGGAGGGCGCUUACCACUGUGAUUCAUAUGACUGGGGUGAAAGUCGCUAACAAAAUAACCGUAGAGGAACCUGCGGAUUUGGAUCACCUCCUUA
rnacentral:rRNA from 1 species